rnacentral:rRNA from 1 species
CCGAUUGAAUGAUUUAGUGAGGUCUUCGGACCGACACGCGGUGGCUUCACGGCCGUUGGCCUUGCUGGGAAGUUGACCAAACUUGAUCAUUUAGAGGAAGUAAAAGUCGUAACAAGGUUUCCGCAGGAGAACCUGCGGAAGGAUCAUUA